UACGUAGGGUGCGAGCGUUAAUCGGAAUUACUGGGCGUAAAGCGUGCGCAGGCGGUUUUGUAAGCCAGAUGUGAAAGCCCCGGGCUUAACCUGGGAAUGGCAUUUGGGACUGCAAGGCUUGAGUGCGGCAGAGGAGACUGGAAUUCCUGGUGUAGCAGUGAAAUGCGUAGAUAUCAGGAGGAAUACCGAUGGCGAAGGCAGGUCUCUGGGCUGACCCUGACGGUCAUGCACGAAAGCGUGGGGAGCAAACAGG
rnacentral:rRNA from 1 species